UUACAUAAUAUAAUAUACUAUAAAAAUAAAAAUAAUAACGUAGUCAUACUUAUAUGGGAAAAAUAAAAUUAAUUUUUAGUAUCGUAAUUGAUACACAUAAGAAGGGUAUGUGAAGGGCAUACUUUCCGCCGUUUAAUUUUUAUAUUAUUUUAAAAAUGAUCGUGUAAAAUAUUGUGCAAAUAUCUUGUGUCACAUAUACCUAAACGAAGG